rnacentral:rRNA from 1 species
CGGUCAAGGAUGGACUACGCGGCCUAUCAGCUUGUUGGUGAGGUAAUGGCUCACCAAGGCGACGACUGGUAGCCGGCCUGAGAGGGUGACCGGCCACACUUGGGACUCGAGACACGGCCCAGACUCCUACGGGAGGCAGCAGUGGGGAAUAUUGCACAAUGGGCGAAAGCCUGAUGCAGCAACGCCGCGUGAGGGAUGACGGCCUUCGGGUUGUAAACCUCUUUUAGUAGGGAAGAAGGACUUCGGUUUUGACGGUACCUGCAGAAAAAGCACCGGCUAACUACGUG